rnacentral:rRNA from 1 species
CCUACGGGGUGCUGCAGUGGGGAAUAUUGGACAAUGGGCGAAAGCCUGAUCCAGCCAUGCCGCGUGUGUGAAGAAGGCCUUCGGGUUGUAAAGCACUUUCAGUGGGGAAGAAAGCCUUGGGGCUAAUACCCUCGAGGAAGGACAUCACCCACAGAAGAAGCACCGGCUAACUCCGUGCCAGCAGCCGCGGUAAUACGGAGGGUGCGAGCGUUAAUCGGAAUUACUGGGCGUAAAGCGCGCGUAGGCGGUCUGAUAAGCCGGUUGUGAAAGCCCCGGGCUCAACCUGGGAACGGCAUCCGGAACUGUCAGGCUAGAGUGCAGGAGAGGAAGGUAGAAUUCCCGGUGUAGCGGUGAAAUGCAUAGAGAUCGGGAGGAAUACCAGUGGCGAAGGCGGCCUUCUGGACUGACACUGACGCUGAGGUGCGAAAGCGUGGGUAGCAAACAGGAUUAGAUACCCGGGUAGUC